CGCCGCUAGUGAACCUGUUAUGACGCCAGUCGUACGGCAGGGUAGCCACGCGCGGACGGGAUAAGCGCUGAAAGCAUCUAAGCGCGAAGCCUGCCUCGAGAUGAGAUCUCCUUUCAGGGUCGUCGUAGACGACGACGUUGAUAGGCCACAGGUGUAAAGCCGGUGACGGCAAAGCCGAGUGGUACUAAUCACCCGAUAGUUGACGUU
rnacentral:rRNA from 1 species